AGUGAACGCUGGCGGUAGGCCUAACACAUGCAAGUCGAACGGCAGCACAGUAAGAGCUUGCUCUUACGGGUGGCGAGUGGCGGACGGGUGAGGAAUACAUCGGACUCUACUUUUUCGUGGGGGAUAACGUAGGGAAACUUACGCUAAUACCGCAUACGCCCUACGGGUGAAAGCAGGGGAACUUCGGACCUUGCGCGAUUGAAUGAGCCGAUGUCGGAUUAGCUAGUUGGCGGGGUAAAGGCCCACCAAGGCGACGAUACGUAGCUGGUCUGAGAGGAUGGUCAGCCACACUGGAACUGAGACACGGUCCAGACUCCUACGGGAGGCAGCAGUGGGGAAUAUUAGACAAUGGUCGCAAGCCUGAUCCAGCCAUACCGCGUGGGUGAAGAAGGCCUUCGGGUUGUAAAGCCCUUUUGUUGGGAAAGAAAAGCAGCAGGUUAAUACCCCGCUGUUCUGACGGUACCCAAAGAAUAAGCACCGGCUAACUUCGUG
rnacentral:rRNA from 1 species